ACGUACACUCCUAUGGGAGGCAGCAGUGGGGAAUAUUGCACAAUGGGCGCAAGCCUGAUGCAGCCAUGCCGCGUGUAUGAAGAAGGCCUUCGGGUUGUAAAGUACUUUCAGCGGGGAGGAAGGCGAUAAGGUUAAUAACCUUGUCGAUUGACGUUACCCGCAGAAGAAGCACCGGCUAACUCCGUGCCAGCAGCCGCGGUAAUACGGAGGGUGCAAGCGUUAAUCGGAAUUACUGGGCGUAAAGCGCACGCAGGCGGUCUGUCAAGUCGGAUGUGAAAUCCCCGGGCUCAACCUGGGAACUGCAUUCGAAACUGGCAGGCUAGAGUCUUGUAGAGGGGGGUAGAAUUCCAGGUGUAGCGGUGAAAUGCGUAGAGAUCUGGAGGAAUACCGGUGGCGAAGGCGGCCCCCUGGACAAAGACUGACGCUCAGGUGCGAAAGCGUGGGGAGCAAACAGGAUUAGAUACCCUUGUAGUCCC
rnacentral:rRNA from 1 species